CUAACACUAACAGUAAAAAAAAAAUUGGAUUAAUAUGUGAUAUACUUGAAAAAACGAGACAAAAUGCGUUCCAUAUAACUUUCGUCAAGACAACGAAACACGAAAUUAAAAUACCGGACGUUACCCUACACACAUCAUAGUAAAAUCAAUAAUUGAAUGGCUACACUCAAAAUCUAAAAUUAGAGUUAGUUAUUUCAUACGAAAAUGGUUUUUGGAUAUUCUUGAACAAUUUAUUUUUAAAUAUAAUUAUUAGA